AAAAUAUAGAUAGAUGGAAGAAGAGAGAACUGGAGAUGUCCCAACAGAAACCAAACUCAAUACACACUGUCUCUAAAUGGAAAAGGUAAUGAAGUUGGUAAAGUUCUACAAGCUCAAAUCUGGGACUUGUGAGUCAUCCAUGAGGGAUGACACAGAAAUUGAGACCUCCUUGCUUCAGAUGGAGAAAAAACACAGCAUUGUGACAAGAUGGAGAGAAUCAGAUUCGAGCUUCCACCGUACUCUUAGAGAUGUUGAUCAGGACCUCAGAAGCCACCUGAUCUGCAGAGCUAGAACUGAAUCCAGAGAGAGAGAGCAGUACUCCUUCAACUGAAAAGAACAUAUCCAGAUGGUCAAGGC